rnacentral:rRNA from 1 species
UACAGAGGUCUCAAGCGUUGUUCGGAUUCAUUGGGCGUAAAGGGUGUGUAGGUGGCGCCGUAAGUCGGGUGUGAAAUCUCGGGGCUUAACUCCGAAACUGCAUUCGAUACUGCGGUGCUUGAGGACUGGAGAGGAGACUGGAAUUCAUGGUGUAGCAGUGAAAUGCGUAGAGAUCAAGAGGAAGACCAGUGGCGAAGGCGGGCCUCUGGACAGUUCCUGACACUGAGACACGAAGGCCAGGGGAGCAAACGGG